UUCCUGUUUCUCUCUCUCUUCCUUUGACCAGCAUAGGCUGCAAACAUGCCUCCACUUGCUAAGCUGAUCAUACUGUAAAUAUAAGCAGGGCUUUUUUUUCCCCAGCCGGAGCUCACUGGAGCUCAGCUCCAGCACCUCUCAUGUGGGUGCCAUUGCCAUUCUAAGACAACAAGGGAGAUGUUUGUGGUGAGCUCCAGCACCUAUUUUUCUAGAAAAAUAGCACUGAAUAUAAGUAUCUUGCCUGCAUAGCUUUUACUGCUACUGUUGCUGACAACCAAUGCAUGGUUAUAAAAUUGCAGGUGCAGAGAUAAGAAAAGAAGAGUUGUUCUGUUGUCUGGAAAGGUCACUUCCUGAUUCGCACAGGAGAAGCCAUUUUCAACGGAUGCACACAACUGUAUUAAGCCAGCACCAGGUGUUGGAAUUUUGUGCCAAUUUUGAGCCCAGGGCAACUGCCCCCCACCACCACCACCACCCGCUACACAAUGGCCUGCAAUAUUUGCAUUACACCAACGAGGUGGGAGACCUCAGGCCCAGGUGCGAAAUGCAAGUCCAAUUCAUCCAGCCCUCAGACUUCUCCCCAGGCCACACACUCUCCUGAGCCAAACACUCUCUUCCCAGGCUACACCCUUCAAAGGAAAUCAGUUUCUUGAGCUUAAGCCGAGAAAGAGUAUUCUCUAUAAGAUUGAAUAUCAAAUAUACGUAUAAAGACUUUGAGAUUAGACCACUGAAGAAGUCUGGAAAAUCUUGGGAGUGUGUUACCUGCAAGCCCCAAUAAAAGGGCCCCAUCGGGGGCGAACAGCGGCCCCUUGAUUAUUUGGACUGCCAGGGCGAAACAGCUGCAAAACGCCGGCACCCUGUUGUCCAAAACUUCAUUAACAUCUAUCUACAACUCCACUAGCAUCUCUCGGUGUUGUGAAUAACUCCGAACUUACCUUUUGUUGGUAUCUUCAUGAACUUAUCUAAAAGACUGAGUUACGCAUUUGAAAAACCUAUUGAAACCAGACAUUAUAAGUUCAUCUUCGGUUGGGUAGUACGCAAGUCUCUGUGGCUUUGUUUAAUGAUUUGUAUUUUUCUCAGAAGGUUGAUAAAGAAUGGAUAAUUUAUUAUUCUGUGUAUAUUAAUCGCCAACGUGUUGCAUGAGUCACACUACACCCUUCAAAAGUUUUACUUCAUAGGCUCCUUGUAUGUGGGGGGUUUGGUUUGGUUUGGUUUGGGUUGGGGUUUUUUGCCUCUCUGGAUGGUGUCCUUGUCAGAAACUGGCAGGAUUAGGAAGGGUGGUAGGAGUUGCCUGCCCAAAAGCCCCCAGGGAGGGCACAGAUGACGACGAUUUAGAUCCCGGAUCCUGGUGGUGGAAUACCAGCCACACUUCAGAGCAGAGGACCCACUGGGAGAUACAAGUAGCAGGAAGUGUGAGGGAUCACGGAGAGGCAGGUGGGCCCAGCACAGGACAGAGAGAUGAGGUUUCCAGUUUGCAUGCUGACUCCGACAGAGGGGAGCCAGACCCUGCAGCUUUUGAGAGAGGGAUUUUUAACUGUGAGAGCAGCAGAUGUUGUUUUAUGCUGCUAUGUGCCUCAGAAUCAGUUCUGCAAAUAUUAGUCAGCCUCGUAUAUAAAUUCAUGUAAAUAUGUUCCAGUAUACCAAGUAAAGCAAUGUGUUAUUUUAAACUUUUAAA